UUAUAUUUAGUUUAAAUGAACAAAAAAUUUUGAGUUUUUAGGAAAUAGUGUGAUUCUAUUAGUAUAAA
rnacentral:tRNA from 1 species